rnacentral:rRNA from 1 species
CCACGGGCAUGCCUCAGUACGGCGAGUGAGCGGCAAAAGCUCAAAUUUGAAAUCUAGCACCUUCGGUGUUCGAGUUGUAAUUUGAAGAUGGUAACCUUGGGUUUGGCUCUUGUCUAUGUUCCUUGGAACAGGACGUCAUAGAGGGUGAGAAUCCCGUCUGAUGAGAUGCCCAUUCCUAUGUAAGGUGCUAUCGAAGAGUCGAGUUGUUUGGGAAUGCAGCUCUAAGUGGGUGGUAAAUUCCAUCUAAAGCUAAAUAUUGGCGAGAGACCGAUAGCGAACAAGUACAGUGAUGGAAAGAUGAAAAGAACUUUGAAAAGAGAGUGAAAAAGUACGUGAAAUUGUUGAAAGGGAAGGGCAUUAGAUCAGACUUGGUGUUUUACGAUUAUCUUCUCUUCUUGAGUUGUGCACUCGUAUUUCACUGGGCCAGCAUCGAUUCGGAUGGCAAGAUAAUGGCAGUUGAAUGUGGCUUCACUUCGGUGGAGUGUUAUAGCUUCUGCUGAUAUUGCCUGUCUGGAUCGAGGGCUGCGUCUUUUGACUAGGAUGCUGGCGUAAUGAUCUAAUGCCGCCCGUCUUGACCCACCGGACCAA